ensembl:lncRNA
GCACACACACACAGAGACACGCUUUUUGAGGGUGAAGUGGGGGGCUGGGAGAGGGGUAGGGUAGGCACUGGGUGUGUGGGUCUUAUCCUCCACCUCACCUCUUCAUGAACUCCCCUCCCCCCAGGCACCUCCUUCUACCAUGGAUGCUUUGCAGACAUCUGAUGCCCUGUAAUGCCGUCGGGGCUGGGCCAUCUCACUCUGCUGCGCCAUUUUCAUUGGGCACUGAUGGCUCUUUUAUUUUCGGGAGAGGAGGGCGGGGAGCGUCGCCUGGACCCCCCCCCUUUCCCCAUUUGGGACGCUCGAAUGGAGGCUGCCCUGUGCCUUGGGUCCCAAUACAGACCGGGGCCCAAAGCCAACUGCUCUCGCCCAGCAGUGUUGCUCAUCCGGCGCCCUCGGGGGUCCCUUUUCUGAACUCCUGCUUCAACACCGCGAGGCGGCUCAGGAAGGAGCUUGGGAAAGGAGGACUGGAGGAAGAGACAUGCAAGGACUCAGUUCAGAUUGGACCUUUGUUGAAGCAAAUUUCUCACUCAGAGCUAUCCCUGGGGCUGCAACCACAGGCCUGUCCAUUUUGGUGCCUGGAACAAAUGGGUCAAAGCAGCAACACAUCACUGGUCAUAGUACAAUCUUGAUAAUUAUUUCUCUGAAAUGGGAAUCUCUCCAGCGUUAGAAGAACACAAUCAGAAAAACAGAAGAUAUCUAUGAAGACAGCAGCUUCCCAGCAUGGAAGCUGAGAGUACAUUGUGUGUCCUGUAUACUUGAGGCUGCAUGAUAGCAGAAGCUGCCAAUCUUUUUGGACCAGUAGGCACAUCUGCAAACUGCAGAAACUACCAUGGGUACCACAACCCCACUGUCUUCAAGCACAGGCUGCAAGCUAGUCUAUUGACUACAAUAAGAUGCUCCUUUCAACUCUCAUUUCAGCAGCGCAAGAGGGAGGGAACUUGGUGGACCCUCUUUCAAGUUCAAUAUUAACACCAAGAGGCGUAAUAGAGGGUUGCAUUUUAACAGCACUAUUGCUUAAUCCUUUUAUAAUAAAACAUUUCAGGAGCUCUCUUCUUCCCCUACUCAAUCUUAUCUUGAUUUUUGCUCUUAUUUAGUUAUUUGCAAUGUCUUGAUAUUUCUUUAUGCACUGGAUCAAAACAAAAUAUGCUGGUUGCAUUGGUAAGGAGUGGCUGCAUUCAGACAUUAUGGAUAAAUUAUGGUUUAUAGUGACAGGAAUCAACCUAGCCUCCUCCAGGAUCAUGUUCCCUCUCCUCCUGCUUGGCUGUUGCUUCCUGCUUCAGUUAAUCACUGAACUCUAAACUGUGGCUAAUCUUAACUAUCAUUAUUUGAAAUAAGCCAACUCUGUAAACUAUGGCUUUACAUUGGCUUGCUUCAAACAAACUUCACUUAAAGGUUCACCUCAAUUUGUUGGGCUUGUACAACAUAGCAAACUGAGCUCAAUCAAAACCAGAAAAAAUGCUUCUCAUCCCCUCCCCAUGGCUGGAUUGGAGAAGAAGGGCAAGCACAUGAGCUAGACUUUUUCUCAUUAUGAUAAACUAUUGUUAAUCAUGAUGACCAAACAUGGUCAUUGUGAUUUCAUAUACCAUAUAGCCUCUGCUGAUCCUUCUAAUGAGAUUGAAUCUUCCCAAAGAUCCACCACAUAUGCAUAUCAUAUGUACUGGAACCUUGACAGUUCCAAACAUAUAUCGAAUGUUGCUCUGUUUAAUUGGCUGAAGUGUUAAAUUAAUAGCACAAUACUCUUUAGGGGGUGGGAUUUAACUAAUUGGCCCUGAUUGCAGAAACCUGUGCAAGGACUUCUACUAGUGCAAUGGGACUUCUCCCUCCCCCUAUGUGCUCCCAUGCCCCCAUUGGCGCCGGGGUGUCAGGAGAACCCCCAGAAGAGCACAUGGGGGAAGAGAGGGGAUAUUGUUCUAUUGGGCAAGCAGAAAUGAUGGAACUUCCAAAGGUUGUGAAAGGAGUGUCCAGGUGUGAGGCUUCAUCUCCGGUAAUGGAGAAAGCUCACGGAAGGGGUGUCAAGUCAGAGGGGGAAGAGUCUGACGGAGAAGACACAACUGCUGGCCCUAAUGGGUCAGUAGGGUAUCAGGUCACAGGUGCGUGGAAAAGUGUCGCACAGUGUGAUUCUGGGAAUGCUGAAGGGGUUCAACAGGUGCCUGGGAAAGAUGCCGGGAAGUGGCACAAGGCAAAGGGGAAGGUGUUGAACUCAGAAGGUCUUGUCAGAAUGUGAUGCAGAGGGGGUAUGGGAGUUGGAACUUAACUGGUUAAGUUGUUCCCAUGGUGCCUCAGCAUUCUGACGUCAGCCUAGCAAGCUGGGAGGAGUUUGGGAAGAGUUUCUGUUCUGUUCCCCUCUGGUCUUUGAGGGAGAAAGACGUAGCCGGUAAUGGCGGAAAGGAGCCCAGGAGAUUCCUGGGGAAAUGUCGGAAUAAAGAGCUGAAAAGGACUUUUGUUUAAACAAUGGGAACAAUUUGUUUAAAUUCCACCCUUAGCUGGAACAUGUUAAAUUCCACCCUUAGUGUUUAUUAUUGUUGAAAUACAUCAAGAGUCCUUGCACUUUAUUGGAUAACAUCUCUUUGUUUAUUUCUGUGUGGCUCUGUCUAUGCAUUGCAAAUGUAUGUGUUCUGUACAGUAAUUUGAUAGCUUACUCAUCUCUUCAUGACCAUAGUAAAUAGAAAUCGAGAGCCUAAUAAUAACAAAGUCUGAAUUAGAACACACAGAUCUUGAGUGCACUAUUUUCCGGGAAUGGGAAUCCUUGGCAAGCCUGCUUGCAGGUCUUUUCGGAACAGCUUGUGGCCUUGUCUAAUUGGUUAAGGGUAAGAAACAAACAUAUGGUGUUUAAUUGGAGCAGAGAAACUUUGGAACAUUAAUUCAUUUUAUCUGGUCAUUGAAUUUCUGUUGGGGUGGAGGGCCAGAGUAACAGAGAUUUCAGGCUUUCUAGGUGAAAAUUAAAUACAUGGCCCAACCAACAUUUAGCUCUUGUGUGGUUCAUCUGCACAUCCCUGUUCAAGCAAAUGGCACAACUUCUAACCUGAAUAAUACAAGAAAGGAUAAUUGGUAUCAAUUCAAUCUCUUUCCUCAGGUUUUGAAAACUUCUUUUUCAAAAAUUGCAUGUAUUUUUAAAAAAUCCACGUCUUGCAUGCUGAAGUAUUCCUAACCAGACUUAAUGCAAACCUGGGUCUCAAGCUGGGUUCUAAGCACAUUUGCUUUGAAGAAAGCUUUACUGAAAUUCAUUCUAAAUAAAAGCGUUUAAUAUCAAGGUGCAUAUGCUUUAUCUUAAUUCUUCCUUCCUGAGGGCUAUUGCCUGGAGUUCAAUAAUCUCUUAGAUUGGGUUGGAGAUGAACUGAUCUAGUUCUACAGUAACAGAUUGUGGUAUUUGAACCUCACAACCACAUUUAGAAGAGGUUAAAAACAGGAUGCCUGCAGCUGAAAUAACAAUUGUUACUAUUUUAAACCAUUUAGCUCUUUCCUUCCAGUUUUGCAAUGUUUCUGUUUGCUUUUAUUAAGUUUUGAAAGCACAUCACUACCUAACAUCACUGUAGAAUUUUUUUUUCAUUUUGUAAUUAUACUUUUCUCGAAACAAACAAGGAUUUGGCCCACUUUAGUUAAUUAUCUGACUUCAGACCAGUGGUCCAUCGAGAUCAGUAUUGUCUAAGUAGAUGGCAUUGGCUGUCCAGUAUAGCAGAUGGGGUUCUCUCCCAGCCCUUCCAAGAGAUGCUGGCAAUUGAACCUGAGACCUUCUGCAUGCAAGGUCUAAAGCCUAUGCCCUUACUGGGACGUUAACUUAAUCCCAGUGCAGUUGCUACACAGGUAACUCUCAAUUUACAUGCAUUUAACUUGUACAUAUUCAGCUUUACAUGCUCGGCAAAAAUAAAAUUAAAAAGGGGUGGGUGUCUGGGGGAAAAUAUACUUUGACAAUCCCACACACCAUUGAAUCCAAUGUGUCUUGACUAUAUGUGAUUUUGCCUUUAUGUGCUGUCCCUGAAACGUAAUCCCCGUGUGAGUUGAUCAUUACCUGCAGUUCAUUUCUAUAAAUCAGGAGUCUCUGGGGUCUCUGUGAGAAAACCCGGAUAUAAUCUUCUAAAUUUAAAAAUAAAAGAGUGUGGAAUAUGUACAGUGUUGUUGUUGUUCAUUUGGAGUCUUUACUUACAUAGUUAUUUCUGUCACU